rnacentral:rRNA from 1 species
AUUGAACGCUGGCGGCAGGCCUAACACAUGCAAGUCGAACGAGUGGCGGACGGGUGAGUAAUGUCUGGGAAAAUGCCCGAUGGAGGGGGAUAACUACUGGAAACGGUAGCUAAUACCGCAUACCAUCAGAUGUACCCAGAUGGGAUGAGCUUGUUGGUGGGGUAACGGUUCACCAAGGCGACGAUCCCUAGCUGGUCUGAGAGGAUGACCAGCAACACUGGAACGGAGACACGGUCCAGACUCCUAGGGGAGGCAGCAGUGGGGAAUAUUGCACAAUGGGCGCAAGCCUGAUGCAGCCAUGCCGCGUGUAGGAAGAAGGCCUUCGGGUUGUAAAGUACUUUCAGCGGGGAGGCGUUACCCGCAGAAGAAGCACCGGCUAACUCCGUGCCAGCAGCCGCGGUAAUUC